rnacentral:rRNA from 1 species
CUGAAUUUAAACAUAUAAUUAAGUGGAAGAAGAGAAAAUAAAUAUGAUUCCCCUAGUAACGGCGAGCGAAGAGGGAGGAGCCCAAAGUGAAAAUCCGUUAAAUUUGCCAACGG